rnacentral:misc_RNA from 1 species
UGGUGUCUUUUUGAAAGUCAACAAAGCCACUGUCAACAUGCUUCACAGGGUUGAACCUUAUGUUACCUAUGGUUACCCUAACCUAAAAAGUAUUAGAGAAUUGAUCUACAAGAGAGGUUAUGGGAAAGUUGACAAGCAGAGAAUUGCUUUGACUGACAACGCUGUCAUUGAGCAGGUAUUGGGUAAGUAUGGAAUUAUCUGCAUGGAAGACCUAGUCCAUGAGAUCAUGACUGUUGGACCCCAUUUCAAGCAGGCCAACAACUUCCUA